GACGAACGCUGGCGGCGUGCUUAACACAUGCCAGUCGAACGGAAAGGCCCUGCUUUUGUGGGGUGCUCGAGUGGCGAACGGGUGAGUAACACGUGAGUAACCUGCCCUUGACUCUGGGAUAACUUCAGGAAACUGGGGCUAAUACCGGAUAGGAGCUCCUGCUGCAUGGCGGGGGUUGGAAAGUUUCGGCGGUUGGGGAUGGACUCGCGGCUUAUCAGCUUGUUGGUGGGGUAGUGGCUUACCAAGGCUUUGACGGGUAGCCGGCCUGAGAGGGUGACCGGCCACAUUGGGACUGAGAUACGGCCCAGACUCCUACGGGAGGCAGCAGUGGGGAAUAUUGCACAAUGGGCGGAAGCCUGAUGCAGCAACGCCGCGUGCGGGAUGACGGCCUUCGGGUUGUAAACCGCUUUCGCCUGUGACGAAGCGUGAGUGACGGUAAUGGGUAAAGAAGCACCGGCUAACUACGUG
rnacentral:rRNA from 1 species